ensembl:lncRNA
CGAAUCAUCAUCCGUUUUUCAGCUGUUGACCUCUGACUGACUUUUUGUGACGUUAAUGUAUCAAUGGGUGGGAGGAGCUCCUCCGGGAGACCGCACUCCGCAUACGGCAACGAUGCCUUUCUCCUCCAUGACGCAGUUACAUCUGGACUUCAGAGAAUCAAAGCCAAAGUUCCUGUCCCCCAAUUCCUUCGCCACCAUGGCCAGGAUAAGCCCCACUAUGAGUCUUUACUUGUUGUAAUUACACGAAAUAAACGGCUACAUGUCGGUUUUGUAGUGUUAAUACUCUCAAUGUUUCGUUUAUUCGUAUUUUUAUAUUCUAGUAUUAUCUAUAUUAUGUUGUAUGUAUAGUUAUGCAUGUUAUUAGUGCACCUAAAGAUAUAUUUUGCUUUACAACUUUUACAUCCUAGUAUUAUCAUGUUUAUUGUGUUGUGUGUAUACAUGUUAUUAGUAAACCUACAGAGAUGUUUUGGAGGCUUUAAUCACUGGCAUCAGCCUCUGAAGACCCUCCUCUGAAGCAGAGUAUUUCUUCAGGUCAAAUAUGUCCAGCUCCUCUUCUGAUGUCAGUAGGAUGAAGACCAGAGCUGACCACUGAGCAGGAGAGAGCGAUACUCCGGAGAGACUUCCUGAUGUCAGGUACUGUUGGAUCUCCUUCACUAGAGAAUGGUCGUUCAGCUCAUUUAGACAGUGGAACAGAUUGAUGUUUCUCUCUGGAGAGAGAUCUCCAUUUAACUUCUCUUUGAUGUAAGACUCUGGCUGAAUCCGAAUACUUAGAGACCUCGUAGGACAAUCUUAUUGGUCUCCAGAGAGAGGCCCAGGAGGAAGUGGAGGAACAAGUCCAGGUGUCCGUUGUCACUCUGUAAGGCCUUGUCCACAGCACUCUGGUAGAGUAGGAGAAGUUAUCUUCCCCAGAGCUGGGACGAUCUUCUGAGAGCAUAUUGACACCAGUAUGAAUGAAGGACAAAAAGACAUAAAGGGCAUGCUCAGAUGGACAAAGCAGAACGGCCUGUCCUGUACAGCCCACACUCCUCUUUCAAGAUCUGGGUGAACACUCCUGAGUACACUGAGGCUGCUUUGAUAUUGUAGCAUCCAACAAUGUAACACCCUGCCAUGUCUGCCUCGUUGAAGAUCAGGUUGCCUCUCUCCAGCUGAUUAAAAGCCAGUUUCCCCAGAGAACCAAUGAUCUCCCUGCUCUCUGAACUCCAGUGUGGAUCUGUUUAAACUUUCCUAUGAUACUUCCUGUCCCCCUGUAUGGACUGAAGCCUCAGGAAGUGGCUGUACAUCUGAGUCACGGUCUUAGGCAUCAUUUUUCCGUGCACUAGGUGUUCUCAGC